UAGAAGGCUAGGUAAACUGUUGUAGAAAUAGAACCAAUUUGAAAAAAAAAAACGACAACUGGUUGCCUACACAAAAUGGAGGGGUACAAUUUAGAAAACCUACAGUCAGACUUGAGGAUCGAGCUUGUGAAUGGUCUAACAGGAGAGAAUGUUUAGUCGGUGAAGGAUCUGAUGUCUCGUUAUAAAAGUGACCCCCAGGACUGGAAGGACAUGGAGAAAUGGAGCGAUAUCAAGUACACAAGGACUUUGCUGGACAAAGGUAACGGCCAUUAUAAUCUGAUGAUUCUGUGCUGGAACGUUGGACAGGAGAGCCCCAUACACAACCACCCCAACUCACACUGCUUCAUGAAAACACUAGAGGGUGUGGUCCACGAGGAGCUCUACAGGAAACCGGAUAUGACGUCGUGUCAAUGUUCAUGCGGAUGCAAGAUGGAGAAGAUUGGAGACAGGGACUAUUCAGUAAAUGACGUGGCCUUAAUAACUGACAAAGAUGGCGUGCACAGAGUUGGAAACAGAAGUCACGUGGACAGAGCCGUGACGCUACAUCUCUACUCGCCGCCAUUUACCACGUGUCACAAGUAUGACGACGACACGAGCAAAGAGACGGAGGUCCCCAUGGGAUUCGAUCAGGACUUCAGUGGUCGGUGUUGUAGCACCACAUGCUCCAGUUAAUCAUUUUAUAUUAAAAACGAUGUGCAAAUUUUUGUUUACUGUAAUAGAAUCUCAGUGUACCAUUUGAGUAAACCAUGUUCGUGUGUAUUUAUUCAUACAUAAAUUCGCGCAUGGUGGAAAGAUUAGUAAAUUAUUUAUUUCUAUAGUUUGCUUUUUGUCAGCUUUGAUUUCACUACAUUCUGUUAAUAUAUUAAAUAUGGUAGAAUUGCAAAAUUGAAUCUUUGCCAAACAUUCUUGUAUAAACCUUGUAUGUGAUGUUGUGUUGUAGAUGGAAAUAUCAUUCCACAUAUUAUUGCAACACAAAUGCAAUUUGACAUUUAGUGUCUUUUAAGAUACAUAUACCUUAAACAGAGUUAUGGUAUUAACACUUUUUUAGUAAAAACAGUUUGCUACUUACCGAACUCUUACCAAAUUAACUCUGGUUUGUCAUUUGUUUCCCUUUUUCAAAAAUGAUAUAAGACUCAAACUUAUACAGUAUCUUUAAUGCGAAUUAAAAAAAAUCACUUGUCCUGUAUGGAGUUAAACAUCUGUUUCGGAAUUGGAUAUGCCAUUUUUUUUUUUACAUCUAGUAUGCUGAUCUGUAUUGAUAAAGGUGUUUAACAUCUUAUGAUUAUUAGUCUUUAUUAAUAUUAUUAUAUUCAUAAGUGGAAAAAGCUAAUUGUCAUGUGAAUUCUGAUGUUUCCUAGCUACUUUUUUUAUUGUGUUACAUGUAUUGCAUCUUAUUUCAAACAUAUGUUUUAGUCACAAACAAAUAAAGCGGGUGGACAAUGUAGCUUUUUGGACAAUCAUUUAAGGUAUGUGUAUUCCGAAAUGAGUACGGUUGAGUAAUAGUUAACCGAGAGUUUAGAUAUUUAUGUUCUAAUAAAAUGGAG
rnacentral:misc_RNA from 1 species